AACAGAUGAUGAAAUUAUUGAUGGGUGGACAAAAACUGCUGAUUGUCAUGUCAUGUUCUGAUUU
rfam:Gorilla gorilla gorilla genomic chromosome, chrX, whole genome shotgun sequence